rfam:Cavia porcellus supercont2_0 genomic scaffold, whole genome shotgun sequence.
GCCGGGCGUGGUGGCGCGCGCCUGUAGUCCCAGCUACUCGGGAGGCUAAGGUGGGAGGAUCGCUUGAGUCCAGGAGUUCUGGGCUGCAGUGCGCUAUGCCGAUCGGGUGUCCGCACUAAGUUCGGCAUCAAUAUGGUUACCUCCCAGGAGCGGGGGACCACCAGGUUGCCUAAGGAGGGGUGAACCGGCCCAGGUCGGAAACGGAGCAGAUCAAAACUGCCGUGCUGAUCAGUAGUGGGAUCGCGCCUGUGAAUAGCCACUGCACUCCAGCCUGGGCAAUAUAGUGAGACCCCAUCUCUA